UCCCCUCUAGUCCUCUUAAAGGUCGUAAUUUUAGAAUACUACGAUGCCGAUUUCUAUCUAUUAGGCUACUUUACAUUUACAUCUGAUAUCACGAAAAUUAUGGAUACCGAUCACAAAAGGCACUGUUCUUUGAAAUCGUUGAUAUGAUUUUGUUUUGUUGCUAUAUUCAGGUCACCAGCAGAAGAGCAACCUAGAAGGCUCACCUGGGAUCUGAUCGGUUUAAGACAUUAGAACUCUGUACGUUUACACAAAGAAGCAAUAAAGAUCAAUCGUUGGCCAAUCAUAUUAAAGUUUCUUCUAAAUUUUAUCUUCAUUUCAUUCGUGAGCUUUCAUUAUUACAACAAAUUGGUAUCAGAUCUGGAUCGAUUGAUUUUUUGUAAGGAUCUUUGGCUGCGUUUUCUUAUGGAUCGAUUGAAUAGGGUGAAGAAUUUUUUGGGUGACAAUUCAAUAACGGUUUUCGAUAUAAAGAUCUUGGGUGUGCGAUUUCUCUGUGCAUUUUCGAUCUUUAAAAAGGUAUAAAGCCAAUCUCAUCUCACUUUGCUUCUUUGAAUUCUUUUAAUGUUUUUUUGGGUGUCGAACGAAAGUGGCGUCUCUUAAAACACUCUCCCUCUUUAAGUAUUGUCAACUAGGUACCAAUUAAAUUACCAAUUAUAACGACCAAAACAGGAAAUCAACCAAGAAUUCGCUUGAUAAAUAUUCAAACAUAAAAAAGAAUGUGGUAUUUAAGUGGCAGAAAUCUAGCCAAGUAUUGUCAACUUGGUACCAAUUAUAAGUAAGUGGUUAUUAAAAUGACAAAUGACCAUAUAUAACAUCGCUAUGGAAUGCAAAAAGCUAAGCGAAGAAUAGAAAUUAAGAGUCUUUUACCAUAAUGUUUGGAAUUAUGGCACUCAAGUUGUUUCCUUUUAAAAAAUUAGCAUACCAAUGUGCAGAUAGCUUAGGAUAUCGAGUCAACUCCUUGUCAGCCAUGUCAACAUAGUACAGACCAUAAGCAGAAGCAUAGCCUCCAAUCACCUCAUAGAGAUCGAGGAAAGACCAAACAA
rnacentral:lncRNA from 1 species